CGAACGGGUGAGUAACGCGUGAGGAACCUGCCUCAAAGAGGGGGACAACAGUUGGAAACGACUGCUAAUACCGCAUAAGCCCACGGCUCGGCAUCGAGCAGAGGGAAAAGGAGUGAUCCGCUUUGAGAUGGCCUCGCGUCCGAUUAGCUGGUUGGUGGGGUAAUGGCCCACCAAGGCGACGAUCGGUAGCCGGACUGAGAGGUUGAACGGCCACAUUGGGACUGAGACACGGCCCAG
rnacentral:rRNA from 1 species